CCCACUUCUGGAAGCACAAGACCUGCAAACAGCUAGGAGAGAAAAUGGGUUGGAUUGUUAAGAAUGAGGUGGAAGCUACAAACAACUUAUUCAGACGCUGUUACAAACAGCAGCAAUUGCAGAUUACAGCGACCUGAAAGAAAGAUGCAGACUGGAAGGCCCAUUGAAGAGCUGACUGCCAGUGGGGAAGGAGCUCUUCCGGAGAUCCUUCCUCUGGAGUUUUGCAGUGAGCUCAGGAUGUGGG